AAUUUUUAUAUGGACAGGGACAACACUCUCCACAUGGGCAGGGACAACACACCACUUGUUUGAUGAAAUGCUUUAGCCAAAUCCUUUUUUGGAUGAAACCGUGCUAUCAAUUGGACUUGAGACCACCUUUCUCAAUUGGGAUCAGCGGCCAAGUCAAUGUUACAAAGACAACUGGUCUGGAAAUCUAGGAAGAUAUAGUGUUCAUGGUGGAUAUGUUUGUUGCAGGCAUUGGAACUGGUGAAACUAUUUCUGGCGUUGGCUAUUUUCUGAAAGACAAAAAUCCUAACAUAAAGAUUAUUGCUGCGGAUCCUUUGGAAAGCAAUGUACUUUCACAGGGAAAGCGUGGUAAAAGCAAAGAUGACUGUUUGGAUGUUUUCUCCUCAGAUAAUCAUGCUUUUAGGCGGUUUAUGCAUUUGUGCUUUCUUUCUUUCUAAGUUGUGUCAUCACAAUC